UGCCAGCAGCCGCGGUAAUUCCAGCUCCAAUAGCGUAUAUUAAAGUUGUUGUGGUUAAAAAGCUCGUAGUUGGAUCUCAACAGCCUUGAAGCGGUUAACUUUGUAGUUUUACUGCUUUAUAGGCUGUGCUUUUGCUGGAGGUUUAGGGGUGCUCUUGAUCGAGUGUCUCUGGAUGCCAGCAGGUUUACUUUGAAAAAAUUAGAGUGCUCAAAGCAGGCUAAAAUGCCUGAAUAUUCGUGCAUGGAAUAAUAGAAUAGGAUGUCGAUCCUAUUUUGUUGGUUUUCGGGACUCGACAUAAUGAUAAAUAGGGACAGUCGGGGGCAUUUGUAUUCAAACGACAGAGGUGAAAUUCUUGGACCGUUUGAAGACAAACUACUGCGAAAGCAUUUGCCAAGAAUGUUUUCAUUAAUCAAGAACGAAAGUUAGAGGUUCGAAGGCGAUUAGAUACCGCCCUAGUUCUAACCAUAAACGAUGCCAGCUAGCGAUCUGCCUGCGUUUUUACUGUAGACUGGGCAGGAAGCUUCCGGGAAACCAAAGCAUUUGGGUUCCAGGGGAAGUAUGGUUGCAAAGCUGAAACUUAAAGGAAUUGACGGAAGGGCACCACCAGGAGUGGAGCCUGCGGCUUAAUUUGACUCAACACGGGAAAUCUCACCAGGCCCGGACACUGGAAGGAUUGACAGAUUGAUAGCUCUUUCUUGAUUCGGUGGGUGGUGGUGCAUGGCCGUUCUUAGUUGGUGGAGUGAUUUGUCUGGUUAAUUCCGAUAACGAACGAGACUCUGUCCUGCUAAAUAGUUUCUACUUCUCUUUUGAGUAGAAAUUUCUUCUUAGAGGGACUGGUGACUCUUAGUCACACGAGAUUGAGCAAUAACAGGUCUGUGA
rnacentral:rRNA from 1 species